rnacentral:rRNA from 1 species
GUCCACGCCGUAAACGAUGGAUACUAGCUGUUGGGAGCGAUCUCAGUGGCUAAGCGAAAGUGAUAAGUAUCCCACCUGGGGAGUACGUUCGCAAGAAUGAAACUCAAAGGAAUUGACGGGGGCCCGCACAAGCGGUGGAGCAUGUGGUUUAAUUCGAUGAUACGCGAGGAACAUUACCAAGGCUUAAAAUGUAGAUUGACCGAUUUGGAAACAGAUCUUUCGCAAGACAAUUUACAAGGUGCUGCAUGGUUGUCGU